GACGAACGCUGGCGGCGUGCUUAACACAUGCAAGUCGAACGCUGAAGACCUGGCUUUUGUUGGGUUGGAUGAGUGGCGAACGGGUGAGUAACACGUGAGUAACCUGCCCUCUUCUUUGGGAUAACGCCCGGAAACGGGUGCUAAUACUGGAUAUUCACUGAUCUUCGCAUGGGGGUUGGUGGAAAGGUUUGUUCUGGUGGGGGAUGGGCUCGCGGCCUAUCAGCUUGUUGGUGGGGUGAUGGCCUACCAAGGCUUUGACGGGUAGCCGGCCUGAGAGGGUGACCGGUCACAUUGGGACUGGGAUACGGCCCAGACUCCUACGGGAGGCAGCAGUGGGGAAUAUUGCACAAUGGGCGAAAGCCUGAUGCAGCGACGCCGCGUGAGGGAUGGAGGCCUUCGGGUUGUAAACCUCUUUCGCGCAUGGUCAAGCCGCAACUGUGGGUUGUGGUGAGGGUAGUGGGUAAAGAAGCGCCGGCUAACUACGUG
rnacentral:rRNA from 1 species